rnacentral:rRNA from 1 species
UCAGCANUAAUUUAUUUGAUGAUUUCUUACUACAUGGAUAACUGUAGUAAUUCUAGAGCUAAUACAUGCGCAAAGUCCUGACUCGUGAGGGGAGGGAUGUAUUUAUUAGAUACAAAACCAAUGCGGGUUCUGCUCGCCAUUGUGUUGAAUCAUAGUAACUUAUCGAACGCCAUAGCCUUGUGCUGGGCGUAGAUCAUUCAAAUUNCUGCCCUAUCAGCUU